AGAGAGAGAGAGAGAGAGAUAAGAAUGAAAGAAGGCUCACUGCUCACAGCUUUUGUUAAUGUGGUUUUUAACACUAGGCCAAAUUAUACAAAAAGAAUAUUUAAUCUGGUUUCCUGACCACAAAUCAUCCAGCAUAACAACAAUAAAAUUUUGAAUAUUAAUGUUCUCGAGUAAUAGCACCAUGCGGACAUAGGUAAAAAUAAAGACAAAUAAAUUACGCGCAGGGUAAGUGUUGUCAGAUAAUG
rnacentral:misc_RNA from 1 species